GACGAACGCUGGCGGCGUGCUUAACACAUGCAAGUCGAACGAUGAAGCCGGAGCUUGCUCUGGUGAAUUAGUGGCGAACGGGUGAGUAACACGUGAGUAACCUGCCCUUGACUCUGGGAUAACUGCGGGAAACUGUAGCUAAUACCGGAUACGACCCUCGGAGGCAUCUCCUGGGGGUGGAAAGAAUUUCGGUCAAGGAUGGACUCGCGGCCUAUCAGCUAGUUGGUGAGGUAAAGGCUCACCAAGGCGACGACGGGUAGCCGGCCUGAGAGGGUGACCGGCCACGCUGGGACUGAGACACGGCCCAGACUCCUACGGGAGGCAGCAGUGGGGAAUAUUGCACAAUGGGCGCAAGCCUGAUGCAGCAACGCCGCGUGAGGGAUGACGGCCUUCGGGUCGUAAACCUCUUUUAGCAGGGAAGAAGCGAAAGUGACGGUACCUGCAGAAAAAGCACCGGCUAACUACGUGCCAGCCGCCGCGGUAA
rnacentral:rRNA from 1 species